rnacentral:rRNA from 1 species
GAUGAACGCUAGCGAUAGGCUUAACACAUGCAAGUCGAGGGGCAGCACAAGGUAGCUUGCUAUCUGGGUGGCGACCGGCGCACGGGUGCGUAACGCGUAUGCAACUUGCCCUAUACAGGAGGAUAACCCGUCGAAAGACGGACUAAUACUGCGUAUGCUCACAACUUGGCAUCAAGUGGUGAGGAAAGAAAUUCGGUAUAGGAUAGGCAUGCGUCCCAUUAGCUUGUUGGUGAGGUAACGGCUCACCAAGGCAACGAUGGGUAGGGGAACUGAGAGGUUUAUCCCCCGCACUGGUACUAAGGCACGGACCAGACUCCUACGGAAGGCAGCAGUAAGGAAUAUUAGGCAAGGAGCGCGGGCCUGAACCAGCCAAGUCGCGUGAAGGAUGACUGUGUUAUGGAUUGUAAACUUCUUUUAUACGAGAAUAACAAGAGUAACGAGUGACUCCCUGAAGGUACCGUAUGAAUAAGCAACGGCUAACUCCGUG